ACCCCAACUGAUAGCUCAGUUGGCAGAGAGUGAGACUCUUAAUCUCAGGGUUGUGGGUCUGAGCCCCACACUGGGUA